rnacentral:rRNA from 1 species
CGUGAGAUGUUGGGUUAAGUCCCGCAACGAGCGCAACCCUUGUCAUUAGUUGCUACGAAAGGGCACUCUAAUGAGACUGCGGUGACAAACCGGAGGAAGGUGGGGAUGACGUCAAGUCCUCAUGGCCCUUAUGGCUAGGGCCUCACACGUCAUACAAUGGUCGGAACAGAGGGAAGCGAAGCCGCGAGGUGAAGCCAAUCCCAGAAAACCGAUCGUAGUCCGGAUUGCAGUCUGCAACUCGACUGCA